AUCAGAGGGAUCUUCCAAAUGUGGCAGCAGUUCAGCUGGUGCAGGAGGCUUCAGAGCGGCCUCUGCUGAUUUUUGAAAAUACAUGCAAAUCUGUGAAGGCCCUGGGGCUCCGCUGGUCGGCAUGAGUUUCAGGAAUAAGAAAAAGAGAAGACUGGCUCUGAAGAUGAAUUUUGGGGAUUUGGAUGUGGCACCCUGCAGCAGGAGAGGUCACUGCCUGCAUACUCGCUCAUCUCUGGAGACGUCCCCGAGCCUGGUAAGUUCGCCGCUCGGCUCCUCUCCUGCCCCACGUCUUCCUUGGGAGUUUGCUCACACUGUGUCUUCUAUUUGUUACAUGGAAAUGUGCACCAUUAGUAGAGCGACCGAGCCUUAUCCUAGCCCCUUUUAGCCACCAUAGCCUUUUUUAACAGCCACCAGACCAGGAUCCUCACAUUUAACUGAGAAGAAGAAAGGAGAGGAAAAGCAUAGCCCUUCUAGGUAGUCCUGAGCCAGCACCAGGACCAGAACUAGGACCAGCCCCACCAAGCAUCCCACACCAGUAAGCCAGCCUGGAGGUGUCAAAGCCUUACAGCACCUACAGAUGAAAGACAGUUAAUAGCUACCUUGUGCUUCCAGUGCCUGCUCUCCUCGCAGCCCUGCUGCAGCAUCUGGAGCUGCCCAGCCCCACUGCUGCUUUUGUAAUGCUGGCAGCGGGGCGGGACGGGCUGUGGGGUGCCUGCAGCAGGGUUUUCCUUCUCACUGCAAGAAACCUUCCUGCCAAUGGGAGCCCAUUGCUCAGGGGGAAAUGGGGCGUGGGAGUUGCUUGUUUUAAGGCUUAGAGUUCGUUCUAAACGACCUGCUCCCAAGGUAUCCUCUGGGAUUUUGGCUGCUGUGCUGCAGUUAUGGUAAAGGUAGGAAAGAGAACCAAUGCUUAGUGGAGGAUACUCUGUAAUGGAUGUCCUACUGCACUGUUUUUAGCCUUCCUGGAGGGGGAAGAAAAAACAAGUGUCAUUAGGCUUAGAUUGAAAACAGGGGAGCUGGUCACACUGCUGCUGGAAGCCUCACUCCCGUCUGAGCAGGGAGAGGAACAGGAGAUUUUCUUUGCAUCUGUAGUGCUGCCUUGAAAGGUGUGCUCUUUGUGUACAGCUGCUUCAGGUCAGGAUGUCGGUGGCUGGAGAGUCAACAGAUUGCACAAGACAUUGAGUGCUGUCAUUUGCUCUGCUUUUUCUUCUUAAAAAAAAAAAAAAAAUGUUUCCACUGUUUUGUAACCACCAGUGACUGGAAUUCUUGUGAUAGCUCAGAGGCUCUCCUGUCCAGUCCUGAGGGACUGGAAAACCCCAGGGUUGUUUGUGUCUCCUUUGGAGUCAGACUGGGCACUUUCCUGCCCAGCCAGGCUGUGGGAAUUCCCCUGAAGCCAUGCCUUGUCCAGACAGAUCCCAACCUGCUUCAGCAGGAGGCAGGAAGUCAAGAGCAUUUUGGACAGGUCAGGACUGAACCAGAGGUGACCUCCUGUAGACAGCAGUGUCUCCCUGAUGAGCCGUCCUUCCUUGACCGGAAUACAGCCACUCUGUUCUUGAAACUCACUCUGAAGUCCCUUCUUUUGAGAGGACGGACCAGCUAUGUUCUAGCACAGGACUAUGUGGGGGAUUGCAGAGGAACAGCAGCACGCAAGAAAGCCCUGUGCGAGUGAAGAGGCAAAAUACAAACAACGUGGCUGAGGGCAGAACCGAGGCAUCCAAAUGUUAUUGUUGUAAUGUUAAUGUUAAAAUAAUACCCCAUGUUUCUGUACCAUUUGAGAAAACCAUUUCCAAGCCUGAUUGCCUUACUUUGCCCCUUGAGCUAGGUGAAACUUUCCAGGGACUGCUUUGCCUCACACACUGAGCCGCCACAUCAUUUCAGCUAUAUCUAGCUGUGCUGAUGCCUUACAUACAUAAUCUCUCUGCUUCUUGUUUCAGUCAUGCAGAUAAUAAUUUGUGAGUUUAAAUGGCAGUUAGGAAUUAGCUCUAGAAGGAAUCCCUGUUGUCUGAAGUCUCACGGCUGCUGUGUUUGAGCACUGUCUUGGAGUAGAGGUGGAAGAGCACUCAUCAUAUGACUCUUACUUUCUACAGAAAAUCCCAAUUCCAUUGCCUGAUGGCCAUUUAGCAGGUCCUAGCAGGAAGUGAGUGGCUCUGUUCUACACAGGGUUGGGUUUUGUAGGAGUCCGCCAGUUACUGACUCACAGGGAGUUUUAAGCAUUCCUGUGCUGAUAAGCUGGGGAGAGGGGAACAUGUUAUUUGGUGCUUAUUGCUGAUAAUCUUUUUUGUGAGGAUGAAUCUGGUAUUCUGGGGCUUAAAGUCUUCAUUCUUUGAACUCUUCUCAUUGAAAUAAAUACCUUCAAUAAGCGGCGCAUUUCACUUUCACAAAUCUGCUUUCCUUUGAUGUGAUUUCCUUUGGCUAAUUGCAGAUUGCAUCAGUGCUAUUACUGCUGUCUGCAUUUUCCACACUGGUGAUUCUUAAAUGAGCAAGGAAACAAAUGCCUCUCAGGCUGAGAUGCAACCCUGCAUACUAUCUCAGGCAUAAAUCUAAGCAGAUUGGUCCCCAAACCCACAGGGCUGCGGUUCCACUUUGUGCUUUCUGCACACCCAAGGAAGCUCAUUUUUCCCUCUUUUUGGUACUGAGAGGUUCUCACAUCCCAGGACCUGCCUAGAAGAGCGUCAAAGAAGGAGUUUUACUUCCAGAUUCAAACGUAUGAGAACAUAAGCUUAUGCUGGAAUUAAUUACUUCCAGCAGCAUCAACUCGUGAUCUCUUGUGCCCUCUGUUUUUUUGUGUGAAUCUUUCCUCCUCCUCCUCCUCCCACGCUGGUUCUUUCCCAGCUCAGCUGUUUGUAGGGGAGAUAUGGGAGAGGGUAAAAAAGAAAAGUGUUCCUCGUCCCUGUGAGUUUGAGUCAAGUCUUUCCCAAAAAAGCCAUGUAAGGAAACCGGUGCUGUCUGCGGGGCUGUCCCUGUCUCGUGGUAGGUGCUGCACCACACAGUAGUUCUUUUCAGUAAGGACAAGAGGAAGAAACUCUCAUGACUUGAAAAAAAUCUUCGUUUUCUGUGAGCGCUGGAGAGACUUGUAGUGCAGCAGUGCUAGCUUGGAGCAGAUGGUGUCGAGGCCCUCUGCUGACCCUUACUGGCAAAGAUGUGCUGGAUGCAGGGCAGGGACGUGUGAGCACAUCGCUUCCCGUGCAAGGGGUGGCAGAAGCUGAGCAAUAUGGAGAACUAGGAUUCCAGCUCUUCUGGAGGAGCUCUGCAUGCUCCCACCAGCGAAAGUGGGGCUGGGAGCUACACGUGGAGGAACCCACCUGUCCUGUUUCUUUUUCCUCAUGAUACUGACGGAUGUGUUUCCCGUGGCAGACC